CUACGGGAGGCUGCAGUGAGGAAUAUUGGGCAAUGCCCGCAAGGGUGACCCAGCAACGCCGCGUGGAGGAUGAAGGCCGUAAGGUUGUAAACUCCUGUUAGAGGAGAAGAAUAGUACCGAUUGGAUCGGUAUUUGACUGUACCCUCAGAGAAAGCCCCGGCUAACUACGUGCCAGCAGCCGCGGUAAUACGUAGGGGGCAAGCGUUGUCCGGAUUUACUGGGUGUGCAGGGCGGAUAGGCGGGCAGGCGAGAAAUCCUACAGCUUAACUGUAGAACUGCCUUUGAUACUGUUAUUCUUGAGUUCGGGAGAGAGAGACGGAAUUCCAGGUGUAGUGGUGAAAUACGUAGAUAUCUGGAAGAACACCAGUUGCGAAGGCGGUCUCUUGGUCCGAUACUGACGCUGAGGCGCGAAAGCGUGGGGAGCAAACAGGAUUAGAUACCCUGGUAGUC
rnacentral:rRNA from 1 species